AGAGUUUGAUCCUGGCUCAGGACGAACGCUGGCUGCGUGCUUAACACAUGCAAGUCGAACGCUGAAGCCUGGUGCUUGCACCGGGUGGAUGAGUGACGAACGGGUGAGUAACACGUGAGUAACCUGCCCCUGACUUCGGGAUAAGCCCGAGAAACUGGGUCUAAUACCGGAUACGACUGCCGGACGCAUGUCUGGUGGUGGAAAGUUUUUUCGGUUGGGGAUGGGCUCGCGGCCUAUCAGUUUGUUGGUGAGGUAAUGGCUCACCAAGACGACGACGGGUAGCCGGCCUGAGAGGGCGACCGGCCACACUGGGACUGAGACACGGCCCAGACUCCUACGGGAGGCGAC
rnacentral:rRNA from 1 species